rnacentral:rRNA from 1 species
UUACGGUCAAAUCACGCUGAAAACACCGGUUCUCGUUCGAUCACCGAAGUUAAGCAUCGUAGAGCCAGGUCAGUACUUAGAUGGGGACCGCUUGGGAACACCUGGUACUGUAAUC